rnacentral:rRNA from 1 species
AGUGAACGCUGGCGGUAGGCCUAACACAUGCAAGUCGAACGGCAGCACAGUAAGAGCUUGCUCUUACGGGUGGCGAGUGGCGGACGGGUGAGGAAUACAUCGGAAUCUACUUUUUCGUGGGGGAUAACGUAGGGAAACUUACGCUAAUACCGCAUACGACCUACGGGUGAAAGCAGGGGAUCUUCGGACCUUGCGCGAUUGAAUGAGCCGAUGUCGGAUUAGCUAGUUGGCGGGGUAAAGGCCCACCAAGGCGACGAUCCGUAGCUGGUCUGAGAGGAUGAUCAGCCACACUGGAACGGAGACACGGUCCAGACUCCUACGGGAGGCAGCAGUGGGGAAUAUUGGACAAUGGGCGCAAGCCUGAUCCAGCCAUACCGCGUGGGUGAAGAAGGCCUUCGGGUUGUAAAACCCUUUUGUUGGGAAAGAAAAGCAGCAGGUUAAUACCCCGCUGUUCUGACGGUACCCAAAGAAUAAGCACCGGCUAACUUCGUG